UCUUUUCCUUAAAAACGAAAAAAAUAAAUAAAAAUCUUCUUUUUGUUCUCUUUCAAAGGAAUUUUGAAACCUAAAAAGCCAAAAUUUUCUCUUCUUUUAGGGCUCGCCAAAUCUAUGAAGAUAGUGGUCUCCUCACGGCUUAAGGGUUAAACCUAGGUGAGGCUGCUAUCAUCGGAACCUCCUCCCUUUGUCAUUCAAAAAUCGAGCCUAAAAUCUCCCAAACCCCAAAAGCUCAACAUGCAUGCUUUGGAAACUCAAAAAAAGAAAAGGAAAACUCGAAAUAUGCCUUUGGUUGUUCUAAGAUUGUGUAGCUGAUUGGUAUUCUGAUAUUAGUUUCUUUUUUUUUUUUGUUAAUUUUUC
rnacentral:lncRNA from 1 species